AGUGAUGUGGAACAAGAGGUAGUUCCUGAGGCUCAUACCCUCAGUGUUGAUGGUUCGAGUCCAUCCAUCACUC